UACAGAGGUCCCAAGCGUUGUUCGGAUUCACUGGGCGUAAAGUGUGCGCAGGCGGCCGCGCAAGUCGAGUGUGAAAGCCCCGGGCUUAACUUGGGAAUUGCGCUCGAAACUACGUGGCUGGAGUGUGGCAGAGGAAGGUGGAAUUCCAGGUGUAGCGGUGAAAUGCGUAGAGAUCUGGAGGAACACCGAUGGCGAAGGCAGCCUUCUGGGCCAACACUGACGCUCAUGCACGAAAGCGUGGGGAGCAAACAGG
rnacentral:rRNA from 1 species